rnacentral:rRNA from 1 species
AACGAACGCUGGCGGCAUGCCUAACACAUGCGAGUCGAACGAGACCUUCGGGUCUAGUGGCGCACGGGUGCGUAACGCGUGGGAACCUGCCCUUAGGUUCGGAAUAACUCCCCGAAAGGGGUGCUAAUACCGGAUAAUGUCUUCGGACCAAAGAUUUAUCGCCUUUGGAUGGGCCCGCGUUGGAUUAGCUAGUUGGUAGGGUAAAAGCCUACCAAGGCGACGAUCCAUAGCUGGUCUGAGAGGAUGAUCAGCCACACUGGGACUGAGGCACGGCCCAGACUCCUACGGGAGGCAGCAGUGGGGAAUAUUGGACAAUGGGCGAAAGCCUGAUCCAGCAAUGCCGCGUGAGUGAUGAAGGCCUUAGGGUUGUAAAGCUCUUUUACCCGGGAUGAUAAUGACAGUACCGGGAGAAUAAGCUCCGGCUAACUCCGUG